rnacentral:rRNA from 1 species
AGUGAACGCUGGCGGUAGGCCUAACACAUGCAAGUCGAACGGCAGCACAGGAGAGCUUGCUCUCUGGGUGGCGAGUGGCGGACGGGUGAGGAAUACAUCGGAAUCUACUCUGUCGUGGGGGAUAACGUAGGGAAACUUACGCUAAUACCGCAUACGACCUACGGGUGAAAGCAGGGGACCUUCGGCACCUGCGCGAUUGAAUGACGCGAUGUCGGAUUAGCUAGUUGGCGGGGUAAAGGCCCACCAAGGCGCCGAUCCGUAGCUGGUCUGAGAGGAUGAUCAGCCACACUGGAACUGAGACACGGUCCAGACUCCUACGGGAGGCAGCAGUGGGGAAUAUUGGACAAUGGGCGCAAGCCUGAUCCAGCCAUACCGCGUGGGUGAAGAAGGCCUUCGGGUUGUAAAGCCCUUUUGUUGGGAAAGAAAUCCAGCUGGCCAAUACCCGGUUGGGAUGACGGUACCCAAAGAAUAAGCACCGGCUAACUUCGUGCCAGCAGCCGCCGUAA